rnacentral:lncRNA from 1 species
CAAGAAGACAAGGGGGAGGGCCAGAGGGUAGCCGCCCAGGCGGGGAGCUGCUCCGGCCGAAGGGGCCCCUCCAUUCUGGAAGGGGCUGGUGCUGAGACAUGUGCUGACCCCGGCCUGCAGACCCGGGGCCCGGAGGGAGCACCGUGCUGUGUGUGAGAGAGACACACAGGAGGGCAGAUACGAGAGAGUCACCAUCAUCCCCACGCUGGAUGGCCAACCUCCA